GUGGGGAAUCUUCCGCAAUGGACGAAAGUCUGACGGAGCAACGCCGCGUGAAGGAAGAAGGUUUUCGGAUUGUAAACUUCUGUCCUCAGGGAAGAAGAAAGUGACGGUACCUGAGGAGGAAGCCCCGGCUAACUACGUGCCAGCAGCCGCGGUAAUACGUAGGGGGCGAGCGUUGUCCGGAAUGACUGGGCGUAAAGGGCGCGUAGACGGCUGUCUAAGUCUGGAGUGAAAGUCCUGCUUUCAAGGUGGGAAUUGCUUUGGAGACUGGAUGGCUUGAGUGCGGAAGAGGUAAGUGGAAUUCCCAGUGUAGCGGUGAAAUGCGUAGAGAUUGGGAGGAACACCAGUGGCGAAGGCGACUUACUGGGCCGUAACUGACGUUGAUGCGCGAAAGCGUGGGGAGCGAACAGGAUUAGAUACCCCAGUAGUCC
rnacentral:rRNA from 1 species